rnacentral:piRNA from 1 species
UCUGAACAAGGCAGCAGAGGUGCU